ensembl:misc_RNA Y_RNA Y RNA
GGGUGGUCUGAGGGUGAUAAGUUAUUUUAAUUGAUUGUUCACAGUCAGUUACAGAUAAAAGUCCUUGUUCUACUCUUUCCCUGCUUCUCACUAUUGCACAUGACUAGUAA